rnacentral:rRNA from 1 species
UACAGAGGGGGCAAGCGUUAUUCGGAAUUAUUGGGCGUAAAGGGCGCGUAGGCGGCAUUGCAAGUGGAAGGUGAAAUCCCUCGGCUUAACCGAGGAACUGCCCUCCAAACUGUGUUGCUUGAGGCCGGGAGAGGUGAGUGGAAUUCCCAGUGUAGCGGUGAAAUGCGUAGAUAUGCGGAGGAACACCGAUGGCGAAGGCAAUCCCCUGGACCUGUACUGACGCUCAUGCACGAAAGCGUGGGGAGCAAACAGG